ACGAACGCUGGCGGCGUGCUUAACACAUGCCAGUCGAACGGAAAGGCCCUGCUUUUGUGGGGUGCUCGAGUGGCGAACGGGUGAGUAACACGUGAGUAACCUGCCCUUGACUUUGGGAUAACUUCAGGAAACUGGGGCUAAUACCGGAUAGGAGCUCCUGCUGCAUGGUGGGGGUUGGAAAGUUUCGGCGGUUGGGGAUGGACUCGCGGCUUAUCAGCUUGUUGGUGGGGUAGUGGCUUACCAAGGCUUUGACGGGUAGCCGGCCUGAGAGGGUGACCGGCCACAAUGGGACUGAGAUACGGCCCAGACUCCUACGGGAGGCAGCAGUGGGGAAUAUUGCACAAUGGGCGGAAGCCUGAUGCAGCAACGCCGCGUGCGGGAUGACGGCCUUCGGGUUGUAAACCGCUUUCGCCUGUGACGAAGCGUGAGUGACGGUAAUGGGUAAAGAAGCACCGGCUAACUACGUG
rnacentral:rRNA from 1 species